GCCUGGCUAGCUCAGUCGGUAGAGCAUGAGACUCUAAUCUCAGGGUCGUGGGUUCGAGCCCACGUUGGGCG
rnacentral:tRNA from 1 species